GACGGAGGGUGCUAGCGUUGUUCGGAAUGACUGGGCGUAAAGGGCGCGUAGGCGGCUCGUGAAGUCGGGUGUGAAAGCCCGGGGCUCAACCCCGGAACGGCAUCCGAUACUGGCGGGCUUGAGACCGGGAGAGGAGGGUGGAAUACCCAGUGUAGAGGUGAAAUUCGUAGAUAUUGGGUGGAACACCGGUGGCGAAAGCGGCUCUCUGGCCCCGGAUCUGACGCUGAGGCGCGAAAGCGUGGGGAGCAAACAGGG
rnacentral:rRNA from 1 species